UAGCUAUCACUACUAGAAAAACAGGAUUAGACAUCACAUUUUAGACAUCUGUUAGAAAAACCACCGAUGUUAAAACCCUAUUUUACAUCGAAUAUUUUGAAACCGAUUUCUAUUAAAAAUCUAGACAUCGCCUAAGUGCAAAACCGAUGUGUAAAACCUGUUUUUAAAAAAAUUGACCGAGCUCCCCCGCUGCUUUUCCCCCCUUAGCCAAUUGUUUUACAAACAAGAUUCCCCACAGAAUAUUUCCUCUUAUUACACAAAUAUUCCCCCUUUACCAAAAUUUUAUAUCCCACCUUCACCAAAAUGUUAUUUCCCCCGUUUCUUCUUUUCAUUCUCGACUAUGUCUCUCGACACUCUCUCUCUCUCGACUCUCUCGUCUCUUUCUCUUCCCAUCUCUGCUCUCCCUAUCUGGUCUCGCUCACACCCUCUAUUUCAAGCUCCGACAUUCAAAUAGUAGUUAGGGUUCGAUUGGGUAACCCCUAAUUUGUUCUAUCGGAGACACAGCUCGAAGAAGAAACUUGAAUAAAUUAGUAGAUAGAACUCAUUUCGGAGAAACGCAAAUUGCAGAUUAGUUCGAUUGGGUUUAAGAGUUUGAUUGGUUCAAUUGGGUUUUAGGGUUCUUAUCAAUUCUCACUUCAAAUCCUGCCCUAAUUGAAGACAUUCGCGAGUGGGAACAAGAAUAUCAGUGCUGAACUGCUUGUUGGCCAAGUUGUCUCCCGUAUUGCUUCUGCUCUGUUUGAAUGGUUGUGGUCACUGAAGACAGAUGAGCCCAUUGGUGGAAGAUAUGAGGCUGAUUUGUGGUUUUCUCCAGGAACUUGUGCAAAGUUAAAUUUAGGAGAGGAACACGAAUAGAAAUCUGUUUGACUUCCCAGGGUGAUUGGAACGGUGCAGGGUGGUCCUCAUAACCACACAAUUGGGGGACUUGCGGUCUGCCUGAAGUUUGUGCAUACUCCAAAAUUUAGGGCUUAAUUGCCAGAAGCAUGUGUUUUUUCCUAUAUAUUUUUACAUGGACAGAUGGACAAUUGAAAGAACUUUGUCCAAUAAUUAUAGUUGCAAUGACUUUGGGAAUAUAAUGACUUUAGGUUUCAUUUAUCACUGCUGAUUUUGGGAGUAUAAUGAACUUAAUGUGUAGUUGCAAUGACUUAUGAAACAGUAUUGCUUUUGGUAUCUUUGACAUUCGAUGUACAAGUACAUGGAUUAUGUAAUUAGUUGGUGGCUUGAAUGCAAAUAUGUUUGGUGUA